GAUGAACGCUGGCGGCGUGCCUAAUACAUGCAAGUCGAGCGAAUGGAUUAAGAGCUUGCUCUUAUGAAGUUAGCGGCGGACGGGUGAGUAACACGUGGGUAACCUGCCCAUAAGACUGGGAUAACUCCGGGAAACCGGGGCUAAUACCGGAUAACAUUUUGAACCGCAUGGUUCGAAAUUGAAAGGCGGGUUCGGCUGGCACUUAUGGAUGGACCCGCGUCGCAUUAGCUAGUUGGUGAGGUAACGGCUCACCAGGGCAACGAUGCGUAGCCGACCUGAGAGGGUGAUCGGCCACACUGGGACUGAGACACGGCCCAGACUCCUACGGGAGGCAGCAGUAGGGAAUCUUCCGCAAUGGACGAAAGUCUGACGGAGCAACGCCGCGUGAGUGAUGAAGGCUUUCGGGUCGUAAAACUCUGUUGUUAGGGAAGAACAAGUGCUAGUUGAAUAAGCUGGCACCUUGACGGUACCUAACCAGAAAGCCACGGCUAACUACGUGCCAGCAGCCGCCGUAA
rnacentral:rRNA from 1 species